GUAGGUGGCAAGCGUUGUCCGGAAUUAUUGGGCGUAAAGCGCGCGCAGGCGGUUCUUUAAGUCUGAUGUGAAAGCCCACGGCUCAACCGUGGAGGGUCAUUGGAAACUGGAGAACUUGAGUACAGAAGAGGAAAGCGGAAUUCCACGUGUAGCGGUGAAAUGCGUAGAGAUGUGGAGGAACACCAGUGGCGAAGGCGGCUUUCUGGUCUGUAACUGACGCUGAGGCGCGAAAGCGUGGGGAGCAAACAGGAUUAGAUACCCUGGUAGUCCACGCCGUAAACGAUGAGUGCUAAGUGUUAGGGGGGUUUUCCGCCCCCCUUAGUGCUGCAGCUAACGCAUUAAGCACUCGCCUGGGAUACGGCCGCAAGGCUG
rnacentral:rRNA from 1 species